rfam:Triticum aestivum genome assembly, contig: Triticum_aestivum_CS42_TGACv1_scaffold_347536_4DL
CAAAUACUCCCUCCGUCUGGAAAUACUUGUCAUCAAAAUGGAUAAAAGGAAAUGUAUCAGACGUAUUUUAGUUUUAGAUACAUCUCUUUUUAUCCAUUUUGAUGACAAGUAUUUUCGGACGGAGGGAGUAGAAA